rnacentral:rRNA from 1 species
GUCGAGCGCGCCCUUCGGGGUGAGCGGCGGACGGGUUAGUAACGCGUGGGAACAUACCCUUUUCUACGGAAUAGCCUCUGGAAACGGAGAGUAAUACCGUAUGAGCCCUUCGGGGGAAAGAUUUAUCGGGAAAGGAUUGGCCCGCGUUAGAUUAGGUAGUUGGUGGGGUAAUGGCCUACCAAGCCUACGAUCUAUAGCUGGUUUUAGAGGAUGAUCAGCAACACUGGGACUGAGACACGGCCCAGACUCCUACGGGAGGCAGCAGUGGGGAAUCUUGGACAAUGGGGGCAACCCUGAUCCAGCCAUGCCGCGUGAGUGAUGAAGGCCUUAGGGUCGUAAAGCUCUUUCGCCUGUGAAGAUAAUGACGGUAGCAGGUAAAGAAACCCCGGCUAACUCCGUGCCAGCAGCCGCGGUAAUACGGAGGGGGUUAGCGUUGUUCGGAAUUACUGGGCGUAAAGCGCACGUAGGCGGACUGGAAAGUAUGGGGUGAAAUCCCAGGGCUCAACCCUGGAACUGCCUCAUAAACUAUCAGUCUAGAGUUCGAGAGAGGUGAGUGGAAUUCCAAGUGUAGAGGUGAAAUUCGUAGAUAUUUGGAGGAACACCAGUGGCGAAGGCGGCUCACUGGCUCGAUACUGACGCUGAGGUGCGAAAGUGUGGGGAGCAAACAGGAUUAGAUACCCUGGUAGUCCACACCGUAAACGAUGAAUGCCAGUCGUCGGGUAGCAUGCUAUUC